GAUGAAGAACGUAGUGAAAUGCGAUAAGUAAUGUGAAUUGCAGAAUUCAGUGAAUCAUCGAAUCUUUGAACGCACAUUGCGCCCUUUGGCAUUCCGAAGGGCACACCUGUCCGAGCGCCGUCGCACAACUGAGGCGCAGCCUUGCGUUGGCGGGCGACUUGUGAGUAGCGAGUCGCCGCCCAAACGAGACGGCGCCGCGCCGCGGCCGACGAAGCACGAAAGCGGAAGUCGACGCGGAGGCGGUUGCCUGUAGGAAGACACAGCUUGGCCUCGGAUCAGGUGGGGAUACCCGCUGAACUUAAGCAUAUCAAUAAGCGGAGGA
rnacentral:misc_RNA from 1 species